rnacentral:tRNA from 1 species
GCAGGGUAUGGUGUAAGUGGUAUUUGCACACCUCGCACAAUAGAUGAUACCUCUUCUUAUCGUGUGAGAUAGUGGCGGUUCGAUUCCGCCUCCCUGCA